rnacentral:lncRNA from 1 species
GGCAUGUAAAAAUACAAUUUUGAUGCUUAUUUAGAAAAUAUGAAUUUAAAUGUUGCUCUCUACAAAAACUCAUGAAGUCCUCUUCAAAUCAAUUUUUUCCUCUGUAUAUGUGUGUAUAUGUAACAUGUGCUUUUUUUUCCUGUAUGUGCCCAGGUGGUUUGAGAAACUUCGCAGUCUGGAAAAGAGAAAGGACUCCAAAGGAAGAGGAACAGAAAUACACUUAUUCGAGAUGGCAGAGGUGCUGCUGUGACCAAGAGCUUCUGGAUGUUUUGAGAGAGCUACCGAAACAGCAUUACAUUACAUUGCACAUGGAACAAAAUCUUCUUGCAGCAACUGCUGGUGACAGUCCUUCAUCAGAGCUCUUUCUAGCUCAGUUUCAGAAUAAAAACUGUGCUGCUAUUCAACCGUCGUUGAGAGAAUACUCAUUAAAAAUGAGAAGCAGGCAAAGACUUGAAUCAACUGUUGUUUUAGUAGGUAUGCAAGUCAAUCAGCUAUACAGUGUAUAGAGUGAAAUUCUUGCAGUGUGUAUAGCCCUAAACUGUUCAUCUAUCCCAAUAACAGCACGUAGUCACUUUACCUCCACCAUUGCUAGUGCGUCACAAAGGACUGCAACUUUUUAUUUUGUGAGAGACAGAAACAUAAGCACAAAACCUUACGAUGACACUGAAGGAUUACUGGGUUAUGGUGAAGAAGGGAAAAACAGCAUCUAAAUCCCAAAGGAAAGCUCUGAGUGCUGAUGUUAUUCACAACCAGAAUUCCUGUAUCUUGGCAAUACUGAUUAGGCAAGACUUUGUGGUAUAGAUGGUAAGGCUAAGAGGCUUCAGAAAGAUAGACACAGCCUUGCUAUCUUGUUGAAUGACAAGCAAGUAGGAACUGGAGUACUACUUUAGCCUCUCCAGACAGUGAAAACCUGGCCAGAUGCCAAAGUGUCUUAAAGGAAAGUUUAUACAGAUACUAACCUCUUAAGUAAAGUUGCUCACUAAUGCCUGUAUUGAUGAGAUGCUUGCUUUUGUCAUCUGGAGUUUUCAAGAAACACGUGUAACGUUGCCUUGCAUGCAAGCCUAGAACUGUUCUGAAAAACUAGGACUUGUCAACAAAUCAGAAGCUGGCCAGAGCAGGACUGCAGUCAUUUAAGAAACCCUGUCUAAUAAGUGUUUUGCAUGUAGGAUGGAAAAGAAAUAGGCUGCAGGCUGAAAAUAGAGGGCAGAGACCCAUGCUUUAAGGCAGAGUAGAAAGUUAGACACAUGCAUGGUUCAUAAUUUUCCAUUGGCUUGCUCUGAAUUGCUUUGCCUCACCAGCUGGGCCAUUAGGAUUGUUCUCAGCAGGUGGUUAAUUUCCUUCCAUGCCCUCUAUCAGUAGUUUUUGUGUCUAUGCCAGGUGGGUCUUUGUGUUCUCUAGGUAGGAGUAACUGAUGCUCUUGCUUUCAUAGCUGAUAGUAGUGCUUCAGAAGCAUGGUUCUGCCUGAGGUAGGAGGGGCUUUUUGAAGAACUAAUCUGAGGAGGUUAGCAAAAUAAAUGCAGGGCAAUCAGUUUAAUUACA